rnacentral:rRNA from 1 species
UGCGAAGGCGGUCGUCUAAGUCGGAGGUGAAAUGUCUACGGCUCAACCGAGGCAUUGCCUCCGAUACUGGACGACUUGAGUGCGGAAGGGGAGCGUGGAAUUCCUGGUGUAGCGGUGAAAUGCGUAGAUAUCAAGAGGAACACCGGUGGCGAAGGCGACGCUCUGGUCCGCAACUGACGCUCAUGCACGAAAGCCAGGGGAGCGAACG